rnacentral:rRNA from 1 species
UAGGGAAUCUUCCGCAAUGGGCGAAAGCCUGACGGAGCAACGCCGCGUGAGUGAUGAAGGUCUUCGGAUCGUAAAACUCUGUUAUUAGGGAAGAACAAAUGUGUAAGUAACUAUGCACGUCUUGACGGUACCUAAUCAGAAAGCCACGGCUAACUACGUGCCAGCAGCCGCGGUAAUACGUAGGUGGCAAGCGUUAUCCGGAAUUAUUGGGCGUAAAGCGCGCGUAGGCGGUUUUUUAAGUCUGAUGUGAAAGCCCACGGCUCAACCGUGGAGGGUCAUUGGAAACUGGAAAACUUGAGUGCAGAAGAGGAAAGUGGAAUCCCAUGUGUAGCGGUGAAAUGCGCAGAGAUAUGGAGGAACACCAGUGGCGAAGGCGACUUUCUGGUCUGUAACUGACGCUGAUGUGCGAAAGCGUGGGGAUCAAACAGG